GUGACGUCAUGGCAUGCACAGCAGCAAGUAGCAACAAGGCAAGCAAACCGCGCUGUGCGUGAGAAAUUUACCCACCCUGUGUGCAUGCAAGUGGAAAUUUUGCACGAACAGCGCGAAAAAAAAACUGAAAAUUCUUGUACACUCAGCCUAUGUAUAAAAACAUUACAGUACUAAAUAGCUUGAUUAGAAUUAGAACAAGGGGCUGAGCUCCUGGAUGGUCUGCAUGGUGUUGGGGGAGAAGAUGAUGCCCGGGGACAGCAGCGUCCCGGCGGUCAUGGGGGACGACAGCUGCGUCGUCGUCGCCGUCGUUGGUGGCGCCGGCGCGGCCCGGCGCUGGCCGAGCGUGAGCAGGAGAGGGUCGCCGGCGCCGCCCUCCUCGGCCGUCGCGGGCGAGAUCGUCGGCAAGGACGAGGACGACGUCGUCGUCGUGGCAGGGGGCUUGCCGGUGAGCCGCUGCACGACGGUCAUGAACUCCUGCGGCCUGGCGUGGAUGACCUUGGGCGUGUGUUCGUACACGAUCACCGGCUUCUUGGUGGUGGUAGUGGACGCCGUCGUCGGCGCCGGCGAGGAGCCCCGCGACGACGACGACGACGACACCUUCAGCGGCAGCGGCCGCGGCCCUCGGAGGCCGGUAGCAGGAGCAGCUCGCUUGGAAGGAGACGACGACGCCUCGGAGGAAGGCAUGGCGGCCACGGUCAUGGUCAUGGCAGCUGCACCAAGCUUCUCGACCAACUGGCGCUGCGUACGUGCUUUGCUCGGUCCGCUGGCGACGUGUGCUCUACGGAGUAC
rnacentral:misc_RNA from 1 species